GAUAAAUGAAGAACUUUUCCUUAAUCAUGGUCGUAUUUAAAAUUUGGAAUUUGUCGCGAACAAUCAAAAUUUUUAUUAAUCUCCCAGAUGAAGAAAAUAAACUUUAUGAAACACUGGUCUUGAAAGCUUCGGAGAAAAUGAACUUAAACGGUUCAAAAUUAGUUUUGGAAACAGAUGGCACAUAUGUUGAUGAUGAUGAAGUCCUAAAAGCUUUAGCUACAGAAACAUUUAUUUUAUUAGAACCAAAUCAAAACUGGAAAUCAGUUGACAGUUUAAGUACUUGCAGUACUCUUACUUUGAGUAGUGAUGGGUCUAUGAUAUAUCCUGAUUUAGGAAAUGCAAGUAUUAAUCUAGGAAAUAUAAUGACCUCAGAAGAGAAACAUAACAAGGAAGAAAAUUUAAAAAAUACCUGGAGAAAUUUUGUGAUUCCCUGGGAAAAAGUUAGUAUUUUAGGAACUAAGGUGCUCGAUAACAAAAAAAGAGAUCCAAAAGUUGUUAAGGAAGUGAUUCAUGUAGUAGCAGAGGAAAUUAGAUCGAAAGAACUUCAGAUACCAGCAAAGUAUUUGAAAAACAUUGCACAAGAAAUGUGUAAAAAAUUUCCAGGUACAUUUGAAGAUCGAGACGACGACGGUGUUCUUAUUGGAGAAGGUUAUCAUGGAGUAUUUUUUUUUUAAAUUGCAAGAAUUAGGUAAGUAUUUGAAUAGAACUUCAAAUAAACGAAUCGGCGAUUUCGACAAAAUAGACAUUCCUUUGUCUAAGAAAAAGCAAAUGUAGUCAUCAAAAGCAGGAUGCAGUUUUUGGGAUCCUCCAGUCCCAUCAAAUGACUCACAUUUAAAUUCCUUAGAAACGGCGCAACAGUUAUUACAGACCAAAACGUGUGAAGUGGAAUUUUCUGCUGACACUCUCAAGUUAUUAGAUCUCACCUAUUCGGCUCAGAGAAGAUAUUUAAACCAAGAGGAUCCACCAUCGAUAGUCAAUAUAAUGAAACAUUGGCCCAUUCUCCUUUGUCAAUCGGGUAUUUAUUGGCAUUUUAACAAAUUAAUGGAUAAAGAUAUUAACGAAUUAAGUAAAGCCAUGAUCAAAAAGGCCGAAAAUAUUAUACAACUUGGGGUAGAGAAAAAGUACAUUACAGACAUUCCAGAAGCAGAGGAUGCAAAACUAAUCUGCGUUUUACAAGUUAUUUCAAAGUUUUUUACUGAAAGUUUAAAUUUGUUGUAUGCGCAGAUACCUGAGAACGACGACACCUACGGAAUUUUACCCAAGAAUCAUAACAGUGCUCCGUGGAUUGCUGCAGUGGGAAGCGAAACUCAAAGCAAUAUGAAAUACCACGUACUUGUGGAAAACCAAAAAAUUAAUAAUGGAACAGAUACACUGACGCAUGCCAUACAGCAAAUGUUUGCAAUAUAUUAUAAUUUUAAUCUCGCAUAUCCCCAAGGAUUAUCACAUAUUUUAGAAUGUAUGCAAACGUAUUUUUUAAAAAUCCAACACCAGCAGGGCACAAAGAGUACAAGGAAAACAUCUCAGAUGAAACUUUUGUCACUUAUAAAAAAAUUACGUGACAGAAAUUAAAGAUCAUAUUGGUGACUUUGAUGAAUACAGAGUAAAAAUUCUAGAUAUUGUUAAAAAAAAUACUCUGAUAUAGUGCUG